GUGCCAGCAGCCGCGGUAAUACAGAGGGUGCGAGCGUUAAUCGGAAUUACUGGGCGUAAAGCGCACGUAGGCGGCUUUGCAAGUCGGGUGUGAAAUCCCCGGGCUCAACCUGGGAACUGCAUCCGAGACUGCUUUGCUCGAGUAUGGGAGAGGGAAGUGGAAUUUCCGGUGUAGCGGUGAAAUGCGUAGAUAUCGGAAGGAACAUCAGUGGCGAAGGCGACUUCCUGGACCAAUACUGACGCUCAGGUGCGAAAGCGUGGGGAGCAAACAGGAUUAGAUACCCCUGUAGUCC
rnacentral:rRNA from 1 species